rfam:Streptomyces sp. CMAA 1322 contig17, whole genome shotgun sequence.
GGCGGUGUGCCCGAGUGGCCAAUGGGAGCGGACUGUAAAUCCGUCGGCUUAGCCUACCCAGGUUCGAAUCCUGGCGCCGCCA